GUUCUUGAAACUUAAAAAAUUUGGCGGUAUUUUAGUCUAUCCAGAGGAACCUGUUUUGUAAUCGAUAAUCCACGAUGGACCUUACUUAAAUUUGUAAUCAGUUUAUAUACCGUCGUUAUCAGAAUAUUUUAUAAGAAUAAUAAUAUUCAAUAAUUUUUAUUAAAAUUUAUAUCAGAUCAAGGUGUAGCUUAUAUUUAUGUAAUAAUGGGUUACAAUAAAUUUAUUUAAACGAAUAAAACUAUGAAAAAGUUUUUGAAGGUGGAUUUGGUUGUAAAAUUAUAAAGAUUAAUAAUUUGAUUUUAGCUCUAAAAUAUGUACACAUCGCCCGUCGCUCUUAUUAAUAAGGUAAGAUAAGUCGUAACAUAGUAGAUGUACUGGAAAGUGUAUCUAGAAUGA
rnacentral:rRNA from 1 species